GUCAUCUUUAAAAAGUUCUGUUACUUUUUCAAAUAAUUAUAUAUUGAACUUACUAAAUGUCAAGUUAUUUGGUAGUUUGGUGUAUUAUUGUCAAUUUUAACGAUUUCAUCAGUAGGGGAAAAACUGGAAAUUUCAAGUCAGAAAAAAAGUAUGACAAUAAACUUUAAAGAUUUCUGUAACUUUUUAAAACGAUUUUGGAUAUUCAUAAAACUCUACAGUUUACUCAAUUACAUAUCAAUCUUACUAAAUGCCAGGUUAUAUAGUAGUUUGUUAUAUUGGUGUCAACUGUAAAGAUUUAAUUGAGAGUUAAAAAAAAUUGUAAUUUUUCAUGUUGGAAAAAAUUAUGAUAGUCAACUUUAAAAAUUUCUGUAACUUUUUCAAAUAAACCUGGAUAUUCAUAAAACUCUACAGUUUACUCAAUUACAUAUUAAUCUUACUAAAUGGCAGAUUAUAUGGUAGUUUGUUAUAUUGGUGUCAACUGUAAAGAUUUAAUUGAUAGGUAAAAAAACUGGAAUUUUUCAUGUCGCAAAACAUUAUGAUAGUCAACUUAAAAAAAUUCUGUAACUUUUUCUAAUGAUCUUGGAUAUUCUUAAAACUCUACAGUUUACUAAAUUACAUAUUAAUCUUACUAAGUGCCAGGUUAUAUUAGUAGUUUGUUAUAUUGGUGUCAACUGUAAACAUUAAAUUGAUAGGUAAAAAAACUGGAAUUUUUCAUGUCGCAAAACAUUAUGAUAGUCAAACUUAAAAAAAUUCUGUAACUUUUUCUAAUGAUCUUGGAUAUUCUUAAAACUCUACAGUUUACUAAAUUACAUAUUAAUCUUACUAAGUGCCAGGUUAUAUAGUAGUUUGUUAUAUUGGUGUCAACUGUAAACAUGAAAUUGAUAGGUAAAAAAACUGGAAUUUUUCAUGACGCAAAACAUUAUGAUAGUCAACUUUAAAAAAUUCUGUAACUUUUUCUAAUGAUCUUGGAUAUUCUUAAAACUGUACAGUUUACUCAAUUACAUAUUAAUCUUACUAAGUGCCAAGUUAUAUAGUAGUUUGUUAUAUUGGUGUCAACUGUAAAGAUUAAAUUGAUAGGUAAAAAAACUGGAAUUUUUCAUGUCGCAAAACAUUAUGGUAGUCAACUUAAAAAAAUUCUGUAACUUUUUCUAAUGAUCUUGGAUAUUCUUAAAACUGUACAAUUUACUCAAUUACAUAUUAAUCUUACUAAGUGCCAGGUUAUAUAGUAGUUUGUUAUAUUGGUGUCAACUGUAAAGAUUAAAUUGAUAGGUAAAAAAACUGGAAUUUUUCAUUCUGUAACUUUUUCUAAUGAUCUUUGAUAUUCUUAAAACUCUACAGUUUACUCAAUUACAUAUUAAUCUUACUAAGUGCAAGGUUAUAUGGUAGUUUGUUAUAUUGGUAUCAACUGUAACGAUUUAAUUGAGAGGUAAAGAAAAUUGGAAUUUUUCAUGUCAGAAAAAAUUAUGAUAGUCAACUUAAAAAAAUUCUGUAACUUUUUCAAAUGAUCUUGGAUAUUCUUAAAACUCUACAGUUUACUCAAUUACAUAUUAAUCUUAUUGAAUGCCAGGUUAUAUGGUAGUUUGUUAUAUUGGUGUCAACUGUAAAUAUUUAAUUGAGAGGUAAAAAAAAUUGUAAUUUUUCAUGUCGGAAAAAAUUAUGAUAGUCAACUUAAAAAAUUUCUGUAACUUUUU
rnacentral:lncRNA from 1 species